GACGAACGCUGGCGGCGUGCUUAACACAUGCAAGUGGAGCGACGAACCGGGGCUUGCCCCGGGGCAGAGCCGCGAACGGGUGAGUAACACGUGGGUAACCCACCCCGAUGACCGGGACAACCCGAGGAAACUCGGGCUAAUACCGGAUGUGCUCCUUGACCUCGAGGUCAAGGCGUAAAGAUAGCUUCGGCCUUCGCAUCGGGACGGGCCCGCGGCCCAUUAGCUUGUUGGUGGGGUAAAGGCCUACCAAGGCGACGANGGGUAGCUGGUCUGAGAGGACGAUCAGCCACACUGGGACUGAGACACGGCCCAGACUCCUACGGGAGGCAGCAGUGGGGAAUCUUGCGCAAUGCGCGAAAGCGUGACGCAGCAACGCCGCGUGGGGAAGACGGCCUUCGG
rnacentral:rRNA from 1 species